GCCGAAGUGGCGGAAUGGCAGACGCAGGGGACUUAAAAUCCCCCGGCUACGGCUGUACGGGUUCGAGUCCCGUCUUCGGCA
rnacentral:tRNA from 1 species